CCUACGGGAGGCAGCAGUCGAGAAUCAUUCACAAUGGGGGAAACCCUGAUGGUGCGACGCCGCGUGGGGGAAUGAAGGUCUUCGGAUUGUAAACCCCUGUCAUGUGGGAGCAAAUUAAAAAGAUAGUACCACAAGAGGAAGAGACGGCUAACUCUGUGCCAGCAGCUGCGGUAAUACGGAGGUCUCAAGCGUUGUUCGGAAGCACUGGGCGUAAGGCGUGCGUAGGCUGUUUGGUAAGUCGUGUGUGAAAGGCGCGGGCUCAACCCGCGGACGGCACAUGAUACUGCGAGACUAGAGUAAUGGAGGGGGAACCGGAAUUCUAGGUGUAGCAGUGAAAUGCGUAGAUAUCGAGAGGAACACUCGUGGCGAAGGCGGGUUCCUGGACAUUAACUGACGCUGAGGCACGAAGGCCAGGGGAGCGAAAGGGAUUAGAUACCCCAGUAGUC
rnacentral:rRNA from 1 species